GGGGGAGGUUCGCUUGACAGAUGAAUCCUGCUAAACUUCAUUACCUCGGUGAACUCCGGGGCUAUCCCCG
rnacentral:tRNA from 1 species